GACGAACGCUGGCGGCGUGCUUAACACAUGCCAGUCGAACGGAAAGGCCCUGCUUUUGUGGGGUGCUCGAGUGGCGAACGGGUGAGUAACACGUGAGUAACCUGCCCUUGACUUUGGGAUAACUUCAGGAAACUGGGGCUAAUACCGGAUAGGAGCUCCUGCUGCAUGGUGGGGGUUGGAAAGUUUCGGCGGUUGGGGAUGGACUCGCGGCUUAUCAGCUUGUUGGUGGGGUAGUGGCUUACCAAGGCUUUGACGGGUAGCCGGCCGGAGAGGGUGACCGGCCACAUUGGGACUGAGAUACGGCCCAGACUCCUACGGGAGGCAGCAGUGGGGAAUAUUGCACAAUGGGCGGAAGCCUGAUGCAGCAACGCCGCGUGCGGGAUGACGGCCUUCGGGUUGUAAACCGCUUUCGCCUGUGACGAAGCGUGAGUGACGGUAAUGGGUAAAGAAGCACCGGCUAACUACG
rnacentral:rRNA from 1 species